GCUAGGCAUGGUGGCAUGCACCUGUAGUCCCAGCUAUCCUGGAGGCUGAGGCAGAGGAUCGCUGAGCCUAGGAGUUCUGGGCUGUAGUGCACUAUACCAAUCAGGUGUCCGCACUAAGUUUAGCAUCAAUAAGGUAUACCCCCAGGGAGCUGGGGACCACCAGGUUGCAUAAGAAUGGGUGCAUCGGGCCGAGUCGGAAGUGGAGCAAGUCAAAGUUCCCAUGCGGAUCAGCAGUGGGAUCAUGCCUGUGUGCAGCCACUGCACUCCAGCCUGGGCAACAUAGCGAGACCCUGUCUCAA
rfam:Nomascus leucogenys chromosome 24, whole genome shotgun sequence.